CCUACGGGUGGCAGCAGUGAGGAAUAUUGGUCAAUGGGCGCUAGCCUGAACCAGCCAAGUCGCGUGAAGGAUGACUGCCCUAUGGAUUGUAAACUUCUUUUAUCUGGGAGUAAAGUGCGGUAUGUAUACUGCUUUGCAUGUUCCUUGUGAAUAAGGAUCGGCUAACUCCGUGCCAGCAGCCGCGGUAAUACGGAGGAUCCGAGCGUUAUCCGGAUUUAUUGGGUUUAAAGGGAGCGUAGGCGGGUUGUUAAGUCAGUUGUGAAAGUUUGCGGCUCAAACGUAAAAUUGCAGUUGAUACUGGUAGUCUGGAGUACAGGAGAGGUAGGCGGAAUUCGUGGUGUAGCGGUGAAAUGCUUAGAUAUCACGAAGAACUCCGAUUGCGAAGGCAGCAUGCUGGACUGUAACUGACGCUGAUGCUCGAAAGUGUGGGUAUCAAACAGGAUUAGAUACCCCUGUAGUC
rnacentral:rRNA from 1 species